rnacentral:rRNA from 1 species
UACGGGGGGGGCAAGCGUUGUUCGGAAUUACUGGGCGUAAAGGGCUUGUAGGUGGCCAACUAAGUCAGACGUGAAAUCCCUCGGCUUAACCGGGGAACUGCGUCUGAUACUGGAUGGCUUGAGUUUGGGAGAGGGACGCGGAAUUCCAGGUGUAGCGGUGAAAUGCGUAGAUAUCUGGAGGAACACCGGUGGCGAAGGCGGCGUCCUGGACCAACACUGACACUGAGGAGCGAAAGCCAGGGGAGCAAACGGG